AUCAAUGCUGUAAAAGCUGCAGUGGUUGCUAAGAGAAAAUGAUACUUUGUUCCCAUAGGAACCAUUGUUUUAAAAUGAGAAAUAUAGAUUCUUUAGCUUCAAAGGCUAGAACUUACGUUUGAGAUGGGAAGUAUUUCACCCUCUCCGAAAAAAAAUUGUGGAAAAUCACUAUCCUCAGAUUGGAAAGAUAUGGUUAUGUGGUUGCAAUCUCCCACAUGGGUGAAAAAUGCUGUAGAUGACUUUGGUUUUGUGGUGCUAAGCAGUCUACCACUGAGCCAUGCUCUCAGCCCUCAAGGUGACAAUUUCAUUUCUCUCUCUGCCUUCCUGGUAUUGAUGGCAAUGCAUAGUGAUGCUUGAUAGGAGAGUGAGGGAAGGUGAAACUAACCAUUCUUAGAGCAGAGUUGUUAGGAAAGGCAAACUUACACUUUCCACUUGAUAAUGUCUAAGCUGGUAGUUUGGUUUUAUUGUUAGGGAAAGGAACAAAGGAAAGGCAGUAUUUGCUCCAAAUUACUCUGGAGCAUUUAAAUACCAGCAUAACUUUUCAAUCUAAAGUUAAAGGGAGGUAAUGAUGAUUUGGAGUUUGUGGGGGGAAAUUAUCUGCUUACUUCUGAUCAGAAGCCAAGGACCAAAAUAGGGUGCAAUUGAUCACAACAGUAGUUAUAAACUCAGUGGCAGUCAAAGACAGUUCCUGGAUGGGACUAUUCCCUGAACCCCACUUUGAAUAACAUGAUUCUGUAUUGUCCAUGGCCAGUGGGACUGACUGUUCCGCCUUCCCUAUGUUUGUUCUCUGUGUCUCACAAAAAUGACUUGAAGCAGUCAGAGAAAUGCAAAUCAAAACCACCCUAAGAUACCAUCUCA
rnacentral:lncRNA from 1 species